rnacentral:lncRNA from 1 species
CUAGGUGGAGGAUUAGCCUAGUGAGCCGCGGCCUCUGAAUUUGUUCAUUUUAAUUUGUUGUUAAACUCAAGGUUUGUAAUUCUUUGUUCUGUUUAUUUUCAUUUAAUUUACAUUUUAGUAGAUUAUUUGCAAACAUUCUUCCUCUGUAUCCAGGCUUUAGCAAUGUCACUUUGCAACAGAGACAAUGUUAAUUAAAUGAAAAUAAACAUAAGGCAGUCAGUUAUUAAAUAAUUUUA